rnacentral:rRNA from 1 species
CCUACGGGUGGCAGCAGUGGGGAAUAUUGCACAAUGGGCGAAAGCCUGAUGCAGCGACGCCGCGUGAAUGAUGAAGGACCUAGUGAUGUUAAGCUCUAUCAGCAAGGAAGAAAAUGACGGCACCUGAGUAAGAAGCCCCGGCUAACUACGUGCCAGCAGCCGCGGUAAUACGUAGGGGGCCAGCGUUAUCCGGAUUUACUGGGUGUAAAGGGGGCGUAGACGGGAAUGCAAGUCUGGAGUGAAAGGGGGGGGCUCAACCCUCGGACUGCGGUGGAAACUGUAGGGCUGGAGUGCAGGAGAGGUAAGCGGAAUUCGUGGUGUAGCGGUGAAAUGCGUAGAUAUCACGAGGAACACCGGUGGCGAAGGCAGCUUACUGGACUGCAACUGACGUUGAGGCUCGAAAGCGUGGGUAUCAAACAGGAUUAGAUACCCUUGUAGUC